rnacentral:tRNA from 1 species
GGAGGGAUACCCAAGUGGCUGAAGGGGCGGUCCUGCUAAGACUGUAGGGGGCGUUAUGCGUCCCGCGAGGGUUCAAAUCCCUCUCCCUCCGCCA